AAAUUGAAGAGUUUGAUCAUGGCUCAGAUUGAACGCUGGCGGCAGGCCUAACACAUGCAAGUCGAACGGUAACAGGAAGAAGCUUGCUUCUUUGCUGACGAGUGGCGGACGGGUGAGUAAUGUCUGGGAAACUGCCUGAUGGAGGGGGAUAACUACUGGAAACGGUAGCUAAUACCGCAUAACGUCGCAAGACCAAAGAGGGGGACCUUCGGGCCUCUUGCCAUCGGAUGUGCCCAGAUGGGAUUAGCUAGUAGGUGGGGUAACGGCUCACCUAGGCGACGAUCCCUAGCUGGUCUGAGAGGAUGACCAGCCACACUGGAACUGAGACACGGUCCAGACUCCUACGG
rnacentral:rRNA from 1 species